rnacentral:lncRNA from 1 species
AAAGACCUGAACUCACUGCUGCCCUCUGGCAUAAGUGGGCAGGGUCUCAUUAGCAUCAGUGUGGUGCUUUGCCUUUGAGAGGAUCCCAAAUUGUGCUCACCAGAUCAAUUUGGAAGUAAAAAGUGUCACGCUUAUCAAGUGUGCUGAGCUCUGCCACGCUGCAGUAUGAAUGUGUAAGCCUCGUGCUCACUGUCCCACGUCUGCUCUCGGGUGAGGGCUCAGUUACCAUUUGGAGGGAAGAAUGCCAUGAGUGGCCGACAUGUCACACCCCCACCCCCACCCGCUAGAUGAGGUCAGCAUAGGAUCGCCUGAAAUUAGCAACUAUUGCGCGGCCUUCCCCUUCCCUCUCCGUGGAGACGACAAAGCUUCUUCAG